GUAGCUUGCUACUUUGCCGGCGAGCGGCGGACGGGUGAGUAAUGUCUGGGAAACUGCCUGAUGGAGGGGGAUAACUACUGGAAACGGUAGCUAAUACCGCAUGACCUCGAAAGAGCAAAGUGGGGGAUCUUCGGACCUCACGCCAUCGGAUGUGCCCAGAUGGGAUUAGCUAGUAGGUGAGGUAAUGGCUCACCUAGGCGACGAUCCCUAGCUGGUCUGAGAGGAUGACCAGCCACACUGGAACUGAGACACGGUCCAGACUCCUACGGGAGGCAGCAGUGGGGAAUAUUGCACAAUGGGCGCAAGCCUGAUGCAGCCAUGCCGCGUGUGUGAAGAAGGCCUUAGGGUUGUAAAGCACUUUCAGCGAGGAGGAAGGCAUCAUACUUAAUACGUGUGGUGAUUGACGUUACUCGCAGAAGAAGCACCGGCUAACUCCGUGCCAGCAGCCGCGGUAAUACGGAGGGUGCAAGCGUUAAUCGGAAUUACUGGGCGUAAAGCGCACGCAGGCGGUUUGUUAAGUCAGAUGUGAAAUCCCCGCGCUUAACGUGGGAACUGCAUUUGAAACUGGCAAGCUAGAGUCUUGUAGAGGGGGGUAGAAUUCCAGGUGUAGCGGUGAAAUGCGUAGAGAUCUGGAGGAAUACCGGUGGCGAAGGCGGCCCCCUGGACAAAGACUGACGCUCAGGUGCGAAAGCG
rnacentral:rRNA from 1 species